rnacentral:rRNA from 1 species
AUGCAAGCCCUGUUGCCCAUAGUCUCUGAUGAGACUGGACAAUGCAAGCCAUUAUAUUCUAGUUUCAUGCAUAAUUUUCUAGACCAAUUGCAGCCCAAAAAGAGAACUUUCUAUAUGGCCAACAAAGAUGCUCUUUAUCCUUGGGUACACAUUUGUACUCAGAUUAAAUCUGCUCCCAUAGCGUAUCAUGGCACAGAGUUGCCCAGUUACCAGCAAAUACAACAUUCAUCAUGCAGCCGAAAGUUUACCUUGACAGAUGGUUUCACCAGUAAGAUCUCCAAAUCACAACCACAGAACAAUGUGAUUCGAGAAAACACAGCACAGAACAACGGCCUCUGA